rnacentral:rRNA from 1 species
GACACGGUCCAAACUCCUACGGGAGGCAGCAGUGAGGAAUAUUGGUCAAUGGCCGGAAGGCUGAACCAGCCAAGUCGCGUGAGGGAAUGAGGCCCUACGGGUCGUGAACCUCUUUUGCCGGGGAGCAAGGCCCUCCACGUGUGGAGGGAAGGAGAGUACCCGGAGAAAAAGCAUCGGCUAACUCCGUGCCAGCAGCCGCGGUAAUACGGAGGAUGCGAGCGUUAUCCGGAUUUAUUGGGUUUAAAGGGUGCGUAGGCGGCGUUCCAAGUCAGCGGUAAAAUUGCGGGGCUCAACCCCGUAGAGCCGUUGAAACUGGCGCGCUGGAGUGGGCGAGAAGUAUGCGGAAUGCGUGGUGUAGCGGUGAAAUGCAUAGAUAUCACGCAGAACCCCGAUUGCGAAGGCAGCAUACCGGCGCCCCACUGACGCUGAGGCACGAAAGUGCGGGGAUCAAACAGGAUUAGAUACCCUGGUAGUCCGCACAGUAAACGAUGAAUGCUAGCUGUCCGGGGGGACUGACCCCUGGGUGGCACAGCGAAAGCGUUAAGCAUUCCACCUGGGGAGUACGCCGGCAACGGUGAAACUCAAAGGAAUUGACGGGGGCCCGCACAAGCGGAGGAACAUGUGGUUUAAUUCGAUGAUACGCGAGGAACCUUACCCGGGCUUGAACUGCGCCUGAAUGUGCCGGAAACGGUACAGCCGCAAGGCAGGCGCGGAGGUGCUGCAUGGUUGUCGUCAGCUCGUGCCGUGAGGUGUCGGCUUAAGUGCCAUAACGAGCGCAACCC